rnacentral:rRNA from 1 species
AUAGGAGGUCCAGCCUGCCCAGUGACUACGGGUUCAACGGCCGCGGUAUUUUGACCGUGCAAAGGUAGCGCAAUCACUUGUCUCUUAAAUAGAGACCUGUAUGAAUGGCUAGACGAGGGCUUAACUGUCUCCCCCCUUCGGUCAGUGAAAUUGAUCUAUCCGUGCAGAAGCGGGUAUAACUAUACAAGACGAGAAGACCCUUUGGAGCUUAAGGUACAAAAUUCAACCACGUUAAACGACUCCAUAGAAAGCAAGAACUUAGUGGCGAAUGAAAUUUUACCUUCGGUUGGGGCGACCACGGAGGAAAAAGAAGCCUCCGAGUGGACUGGGCUAAACCCUAAAGCCAAGAGAUACAUCUACAAGCCGCAGAACAUCUGACCAAUAAUGAUCCGACUGAAAAGCCGAUCAACGAACCAAGUUACCCUAGGGAUAACAGCGCAAUCCUCUCCCAGAGUCCAUAUCGACGAGGGGGUUUACGACCUCGAUGUUGGAUCAGGACAUCCUAAUGGUGCAGCCGCUAUUAAGGGUUCGUUUGUUCAACGAUUAAAGUCC